GACGAACGCUGGCGGCGUGCUUAACACAUGCAAGUCGAACGAAGUGGCGAACGGGUGAGUAACGCGUAAUCAACCUGCCCUUCAGAGGGGGACAACAGUUGGAAACGACUGCUAAUACCGCAUACUGAAGGAGGGGAUUGCGUCUGAUUAGCUAGUUGGAGGGGUAACGGCCCACCAAGGCGAUGAUCAGUAGCCGGUCUUAGAGGAGGAACGGCCACAAUGGGACUUGAACACGGCCCAGACUCCUACGGGAGGCAGCAGGGGGGAAUCUUCCGCAAUGGACGAAAGUCUUACGGAGCAACGCCGGGGGAGUGAUGACGGCUUUCGGGUUGUAAAGCUCCGUUAAUCGGGACGCGGUACCUGAAUAGAAAGCCACGGCUAACUACGUGCCAGCCGCCGCGGUAAUAC
rnacentral:rRNA from 1 species